UGUCUGGGUUGCCAUAUGGUUUAUUGAGAAUUGAUGUUUAGCUGUAUGUUUGUGUAAAUCCGUUCUAUCGUAUCACAGAUGUCUGACAGUCGGACAUCGUGAUUUUUUGCUACAAAAACAAUUUUCUGCCAAAGUUUUUUGUAGCCCUUAGAUAAGACAAGAUCAUACAAGGUGUUAAUUAUAUUUUUAUUCAUUUUUCUUUGGCUCAUUAUAAGAUUGAGAUUGCAGAUUGUUCACAGUUGCACUCUUACAAUGAUUUGGUUUCCUCAAAAUAUGAGAUUCCCAUCACAUUUUUGUUAUAUUAAGUUUCUGUAUAACUGUUAUUUUGCUUUCAAUGGGUUUUAUCUAUAAGUGUUGCUCCAUGGCAUGGAGUUUCAAAUGGUGUUUUUUUUUGGAACUUGUUUU
rnacentral:lncRNA from 1 species